rnacentral:rRNA from 1 species
ACGGUCCUAAGGUAGCGAAAUUCCUUGUCGGGUAAGUUCCGACCUGCACGAAUGGCGUAACGACUUUCCUACUGUCUCAACCAUAGACCCAGCGAAAUUGAAGUACGAGUAAAGAUGCUCGUUAGCUGCAGAAGGACGGAAAGACCCCGUGGACCUUUACUACAGCUUGGUAUUGGUAUUUGUUAUGCGUUGUGUAGGAUAGGUGGGAGACUUUGAAGCGUUGGCGCUAGCCGAUGUGGAGUCAACCUUGAAAUACCACCCUGCGUUUGACGGAUAUCUAACCUGGGCCCGUUAUCCGGGCUGGGAACAGUGCCAGGUGGGUAGUUUGACUGGGGCGGUCGCCUCCUAAAUUGUAACGGAGGCGCCCAAAGGUUCUCUCAGUCUGGUUGGCAAUCAGACGUCGAGUGCAAUGGCACAAGAGAGCUUGACUGCGAGACUUACAAGUCGAGCAGGUGCGAAAGCAGGGCAUAGUGAUCCGGCGGUUGCGUGUGGAAGCGCCGUCGCUCAACGGAUAAAAGGUACCCCGGGGAUAACAGGCUUAUCUUCCCCAAGAGUCCAUAUCGACGGGAAGGUUUGGCACCUCGAUGUCGGCUCAUCGCAUCCUGGGGCUGAAGCAGGUCCCAAGGGUUGGGCUGUUCGCCCAUUAAAGCGGUACGCGAGCUGGGUUUAGAACGUCGUGAGACAGUUCGGUCCCUAUCCUCUGCAGCCGGAGGAGAUUUGAGAAAAGCUGUCCCUAGUACGAGAGGACCGGGACGGACGUAGCUCUCGUGUGCCAGUUGUUCCGCCAGGAGCAUGGCUGGUUGGCGACCUACGGAAGGGAUAACCGCUGAAAGCAUCUAAGCGGGAAGCCUUUUUCAAGAUGAGAUCUCCCACCGGGAUAACCGGGUAAGGCCCGUGGUAGACCACCACGUUGAUAGGCCGGAGGUGUAAGCACGGCAACGUGUUCAGCCGACCGGUACUAAUCGGCCGAGGGCUUGGUUAC